rnacentral:lncRNA from 1 species
GAGAGAGGAAGUGAAGAGAGGGAAACCACGUAAACGAAUUUGGUCCGUGUAUGCGUUGAAGGAGACAGGGAAGAACACGAUAUGUUCUUCCCCAGUCUAUUGAAUUUCUUUUAGUAUCCGCAAAUCUCUCUUUCUCUUUCGAACUUUCUCGCUCUGUAAAUGACGAGCGAGGCUUCCUCAUCGGGAUUGAGCUUGGGGAAGGUCUCGAAGAUGUCGAAGAAUUCGUCGGAGUGAGUUGUUCGCUGCAACUUUCUUCCGCUGUUUGGGUUGCUGAGAAAAUGCAGUUGAACAUAUUUCUAGAAAUAGAGCAACGAUUAAUGACGAUUCCUUUUUUAUAUUUCGAUUAAGGAUGAUCAUGAGAACAAUUAAGUGGUAUUAAAUGAAAUACGGUAGAUUAUUUGCAACAAUUUUCAAUUUAUAUCAGGGGUCCUCCUCUGUGUGUGUGUGUGUAAAUGAUGAGCGAGGCUUCGUCAUCGGGAUUGAGCUUGGAAGGUCUCGAAGAUGUCGAAGAAUUCGUCGGAGUGAGUUUUCGCUGCAACUUUCUUUCCGCUGUUUGGUUGCUGAGAAAAUGCAGUUGAACAUAUUUCUAGAAAUAGAGCAACGAAUUAUGACGAUUCCUUUUUUAUAUUUCGAUUAAGGAUGAUCAUGAAGAACAAAUUAAGUGGUAGGUAAAUGAAAUACGGUAGAUUAUUUGCACAAUUUCAAUUUAUCAGGGGUCUCUCUGUGUGUGUGUGUGUAAAUGAUGAGCGAGGCUUCGUCAUAAGGAUUGAGCUUGGAAGGGCUCGAAGAUGUCGAAGAAGUCGGAGUGAGUUUUCGCUGCAACUUUCUUUCCGUUGUUUGGUUGCUGAGAAAAUGUAGUUGAACAUAUUUCUAGAGAGAAAGCAACAAAUUAGGACGGUUUUUUUAUAUUUCGAUUGGAUGAUCAUGAAGAACAAAUUAAGUGGUAGGUAAAUGAAAAUACGGUAGAUUAUUUGCACAA